UGGGUAACCUGCCUCAAAGAGGGGAAUAGCCUCCCGAAAGGGAGAUUAAUACCGCAUAAUAUGUUUAAGUCGCAUGACUUUAACAUCAAAGGAUUUUCUUUUAGAAAUUCCACUUUGAGAUGGACCCCGCGGCGCAUUAGCUAGUUGGUGAGGUAACGGCUCACCAAGGCAACGAUGCGUAGCCGACCUGAGAGGGUGAUCGGCCACAUUGGAACUGAGACACGGUCCAGGCUCCGUAGGGAGG
rnacentral:rRNA from 1 species